ACGUUAGCUGCAGAAGAAGCACCGGCUAACUCCGUGCCAGCAGCCGCGGUAAUACGGAGGGUGCGAGCGUUAAUCGGAAUUACUGGGCGUAAAGCGCAUGCAGGUGGUUUGUUAAGUCAGAUGUGAAAGCCCGGGGCUCAACCUCGGAAUAGCAUUUGAAACUGGCAGACUAGAGUACUGUAGAGGGGGUAGAAUUUCAGGUGUAGCGGUGAAAAUGCGUAGAGAUCUGAAGGAAUACCGGUGGCGAAGGCGGCCCCCUGGACAGAUACUGACACUCAGAUGCGAAAGCGUGGGGAGCAAACAGGAUUAGAUACCCUGGUAG
rnacentral:rRNA from 1 species